UUUUAAUAGUAAUUCAUCUCAGUGUGGACUCUCAAACCUCAAUUUAUCUUUGUUGCUGCCAACGUUUGGAUUACUCUGUGGCUCUGUGUCUCUGUCACUGCUGUGAGGCCCAGAAGGAUCAGAGGGAAUUGAUAUACACAAGGAACUGAAUUUCAACUAAUGUGAGCUUGUUGCUAAUUUUCUAACACAUAACCAAGAAACAUUCUAAUUCAUUACUGUUUUGUCAUCGCCGUCCUCCAGAGGAAACUCUUCUGUGUAUUCAUUUUUCUUGAAGCCUUAUUCAUCAAGCUACAGACUGGAUCCCCUUCCCUCCACUACAUCAGGAAAUGAGGCCCUGCUCUAUUGUACUCUUCAGGACUCCCAAGAGGAGAAAACUGAGGUAUGGAGAGAAGAGAAGCCACUCACCCAAGGAUGCGCACCUCUGUGCAGAGACCUCCCCCAGCUUUGCAUCAUCCUCCAAUCUGAUAAACAGGCAAGCCAUAUCUUUCUCCAAGUUACGGAUAAAAAUGACAAUGGCACAGCCUGAGCCAGCAUCUCUGGGGCCCUGCCCUGGAGUCUACUUCCCAGACUGACCCCAGCUCCUACUCUGGGUUCCGGCUGGUCAGCUGCCCUGGCAUGUCAGCUUCCCGCACCUUUCCACUGCCUCCGGGCAAUAUCAGAGACUUUGCUGAAAUCUCGUCAGCCCUCGGGGACACAAUCCAGGCUUUGUCUUUGAGGCUGAGGCGGGACACUCUGCAGGUUCCCACCUCCUUCUCUGCAUGCCCAACAGUGGUGUCUCUACAAGAGAAGUGAAGUAACAUUUGCCCUCCGGCUGCUGUGGCUGCUGCUGUCGCUAGGACCCCUCCCGCUCUCUGUGCUUUUCAAAGGUCACCACAAGGCCUGGGCAGUCACACCCGUUGGUCGCUCCUUCCAGGACCAAGGAUGCGGUCAUUUGGGUCAGGUCGCUGAGGACAGCCGGGCACCCUCUUCCCAUCCCCUGCCUAGUCUGGGGUUCCGGUUCCCCCGUAGCUGUCUUUGCUGUCCUUUUC
rnacentral:lncRNA from 1 species